UCCCCGCCUGUCCUGUCCAAACGUUCGGCAUAAAACAUGUUAGAAGUCAACAUUAUGACAAGUAUUUUUUUAGCUAACAUUUGUUGUUUUCGGUGACGUGGAGGCAUAUCAGUGACGUCAUUUUUCCCCUUAAUGGCUGCCGUCUCUCAUGUGAUAGGACAAGGACGUUUAUUGGACAAAGUAUGGACAGAACUGUCAGAAAGGAUGGAAUACACAGUGAGGACAAAUGAGAAGAACGAGAAAAAAAAACUGAGACAGCCUCAACUCUAGCGCUUUUUUCUGAUCUUUUCUUUCACUCUUAACCUCAUAUCAACUUCAUUCUUGCUCUGUCUUUCUCACUCUUUUUCUGUCUCUCUCUCCGACCGCCUGUCUCUCAUUUAGUGCUGUCAGCAUACUGUCCAUACUUUCUCCUGCUCACGUUUUCGCUGGUAUUGGGAGGUAGCUUUUUACAUAGCAGGACAGGUGGUGAGUUGUUACCGUAGGUUUUUGGGGCCAUUUUAUCUGACCUGGCCAUUUUAGUCCAAUUUUUUUGAUAAUUCGCUCUUCUAUUAGUGCCGAGAACACUCCGGUAUUGAUGACAACGCUCUGCAUUUCUCUUCAUCCCCAUCACUUUCUCAUCUGUCCAUACCCCCACCCCCCCCUUUCUCUCAUUCUCAUCCUCAAAUUCUCAUGCACUGAAUCAGCUGCUUGGGAACGGACGCUCCCCCUGCCUCUUGGAUCCACAAACAAGCUUCCUCACCCUAGUUCAACGAUAUCCUUCUCCUGUCCUGAGCUUGGGAUUCUGGCACACACAGAAGUCUUGUCCUAAAAUGCUUUGCUAAAGCUGGUAAAAUGGAACCAAAUCAACUGUUUUAUGGAUUUGGUCCCCUUCAACCAGCUGUAGCUGUGCAUUGAUCACCCCGUAGAGCUGUGAUGAAGAAAGAGAGGUGUUCAAAAGCACAACACACAAUAUUUGAUUGCCCGUGAAGUUCAGAGUGCAGGACCAGCUGUUGAAUGCAUGUUCCUUUAAGUACUAAUAUCAUGAUUAAACACUCUUUGUCCUCUUAAAGCCCAGGUUAGCAUUAUAUAUGUCAUGUCACUUAUUAUUCAUGUGCUAUAAUAUUUGAUUAUGUAUUCAAGCCAAAUCACUAUCAUUGGAAAGAGGGCUCUGGGCUCUUUAUGGCCGCCCAUUGAUUUUUUGUCUCUUAGCUGAAAGAGUGAGGAGAUGGGAGAGUGAGCUGGGCUGGAUGGAUGUAGUGAACGAGGGAGUGUGUGUGUGUCAAGCUGCUGAAUAAGUAAAACAGUUGUUCCUUGUCUCACUCUUUUCCUUCUACACUUGUCGUGAUUCUUAAUGCACAUGGCUGAUCAAUAAAAGCUCAUCCUGAAGUUCAUAAA